rnacentral:rRNA from 1 species
UACAGAGGGGGCAAGCGUUGUUCGGAAUUACUGGGCGUAAAGGGCGCGUAGGCGGCCUUCUAAGUCGAACGUGAAAUCCCCGGGCUCAACCCGGGAACUGCGUCCGAUACUGGCAGGCUUGAAUCCGGGAGAGGGAUGUGGAAUUCCAGGUGUAGCGGUGAAAUGCGUAGAUAUCUGGAGGAACACCAGUGGCGAAAGCGCGUGACUGGGCCACAACUGACGCUGAGGAACGAAAGCUAGGGUAGCGAAAGGG